AUUGAUACGUUGUCACUUUAUAAGAAAACGCUUUGCCUGAACGAUUAAUGUCUUAUACUUAAUUUAAUAUUAUAUAACGAUUGUUUGUAUGUUAUUGAUUCAUUUUCUAACCUCAACAAGUGUGAUGCUCGUUUUACGUGGACUCCAGAAUUCGAAUUCCCUCGUCGUGUUGGGUGGCCUUGCUUUGUGUCUUUUAUUUAUGAUUCAAAUCAAACAAAUUUAUAAUAACAAUCAAAAAUAUAAUAGAUAUCUGAACUAUAAACAAUAUAUGAACGAAAUAGCGACAGAACUGAGAACAGUAAUAAAAUCCAUCAAUAAAUCAUCGGCUUACGUUCAUCAACUAAAUGAAAUGCUUAUCAAGUAUCGCGAAAGAGAACCAAAGAAUAUCUCAACGUCAAGAGCAACUUUACCAUCUUAAACACUUUAAGAAUUGGAAUUUCUAAAUGCAGAAGAUUACUUGGAACGUCGGAGAUACAUAAAAGUCCUGAUCAAUAGGAAAUGGCAUUCUAUAAUUGAUAUUAUGUAUAAGUUUGUGACGUUUAGUUCUAAUUGCACGCAUAGGAUAAUACAUGUGUGAUCUCUCUAACAGAAGACAGCAUAUGUAUUGCAUAUAAUAAACAUACAUAUUAUAUGUACCUUCGAGAAGUAAUG